GAUCAGACAAUGAAAUAUCGGAGUAUUCAAUUAAUUUGCUAAGAAAAACUCAAAAUGAAUUUUAAUAUUUUACCAUCUGAUUAAGUCAUCCAAAAAAAAUCAUAAAUGUACAAAUGCAUGCAGGUAGGUGUCCUCUUCAUGAUGGUAUGCACUGAAAUUCGCAUUAGGUGAGACCCACAAGUUCAUUUGACAUUUGCCAUAAUCAUCCCUUAAAUGAAAAUGACUAAAAUGUCUUCAUUAAUUUGCAUCAUGGUCCAUGCUUUUCGUUUUAUAUGCUUCUGCAAGUAAAGGGCAUUUAUCUUUACAGGCCUCGCUCAACCAGGUCCAUAUGCAUAUGAUGGUGGAGCUCACUUAAUCGUGUGUUACACCGCUAUCCCCCAGGAUCCCAGCCAAGCAAAUUGGGCCCACCAAACAUUCAUGGCUCACUUAUUCUUAGGUAAGCUGGUGGUGUACCACUUCCAGGAUUGGCCUUCCCAACCUAAAACCUCUCAUUUGAUGAUCAAUUUGUUUGCUUUCAGGAAAGCAUAGUCCAGCCAAUAAUGUGCCUGUGUGCAUGGUUCACCUCAAACAAAUCCAGAAAUUUGCCAAGUCUUGUUUUACAUUAACCAGCAGUCACCCGUUGCCCUGAAACUAACUUCUUUAGUGACAAAUUUGAACCUGAAUACAAACAGGUUUGUAUGAUUAAAAGCUAGUGAGAAAGGCGAGUGAAAAAUAACAAACCAAAACUAAGAAAUCAAGUAGACAUAUAGCAGAAAUAUGAACUGCCAUGCCUACAUGCUUGAAACCAAGGCCAUAUCAACAGAUCAAGUAUGUGAGCUGGAACAUGAUUUGAGUGAUGAAAAACAAAUGAUUAUGGGUGUUAUUUAUUCUAAGAUAACAUUUGGGUCCUGCAUUUGUUCCUACUAGACAACAAUUUCCAGGUGUUAUUAGUAGUAAUCCCAAAUGUCAAGAAAACUAAACAAUUUUCACAUCAAUGGCAACCCCUUAGGGUCUGAAAAGCUUGGUCGGCGCAAUCAUUCAAGUGAACCAUUGAAUUCUGAAUUCCUUGCAUUGGAGUGAAUACAAGAGAGAGCAAUAUCAGUUUCAUCCUUAAUCAGGUUUUUUAAAUUAUUUAAUGAGAGCAAAAUUUGCAACUAAUAGAUUUUGGUAAUAUAAAUUCAUUAGUCAUAAUUGUAUUCUCCUGAAGAAGGGGAUACUCAAAAUAUUACCAAUAUGAUCAGGACACCAAAAGAUUAACUGGACUGGAAAUUGAGAACAAAGAAAAUGAAAAAGAAACAGGACUGAGGAAUAGAAUAGAAGCUUAAUACAAAUUCCCAAUGCAAUUUAGAAGAUUCUAUGAAAUAAUAAACUGUAAUUUUUUUUUCUGAAAUGACAUAUGCACUUGUUUGCCAUAUCAGAGUAAAGCAAACUACUACAAAGUAGCUAAUCUGUCAUCCGAAAAAUAAGAAGUAGAGGACAAACAAAUCUAAAUAUACAAACCUCUGCAAGAAUUUCUACUGAAAGAACUUCCAUUUCUUCUCACAAUCCUGAGACUGGUGCAAGCCUCGGAUGUUCACCUUACCAGCACAUCCCUGUAUCAGAUUCAUCUCAUGAAGCCAUUUGUAUGUAACUGAAAAAAAAAUUAAAAAAAAUGCUGUAUUAGAUUCAUGAAAACGACCCAAGGAGCACAACCAACGAGGCACCCUUUAUGAGAUUGUUAAAUUUUGAAUGGUAGCCUUUCAUUGUUAAAUUUGACUCCUAGUAUUUCAUGCAAGGAAAUGCAUUUGUUCCCAAAAAAAAUAACCCGGUCAACACAGGUUUAAGAUCAAAGUAUUGCUUUAAAUUUCAAUUGUUUAUGAUAAAUAAGAGUGUAGAAAUCAACAACCCAAAAUUUUUUCCAUAUUUUCCUUCUAAAAACAAACUUAAGAUUAAGAAGUUGGUGAUGCUUAUGUCUCACCCAUCAAAGGACCAAAGAAAAAAAAAAUCAACCUCUGGUUCUUGCAUCUCAAAACUAUGCAACUAAAAUAUAAUUGUGUGAAUAAAUAUAAUAGAACAAGGGCUCCCCCUUAUUUCUUUUGGUCUAAGCUUUGAAAAGAUUGGAGGGACAGGAAUGCCAAUUUGCUAUCCAUCUGAUCACUAACUUUUGUAAUACAUCUAUUUAUGAUUCAUACGAUGGUGUCUGCAUAUCAUACAAGGUAGUUGUGUUGUAACUCCCAGCUAAACUUGGUAUGCCAAAUUUUGGCAUUCAUGUCCCUUGUGCCAAACCUCGUCGACUCAUGGAGACACGUGUAAGUUCUCAGGCCACUUUGGAGAAACCAACCUCAUCCCACCAUUUCCAUCAUUUCAGUUCAAUGUUGUUCGCUUUUAGUAAUUUCACCACAACACGCAAUUGCUUUCCUUUCAUAAUUUAUGUUGAAAUUUAGCAAAAAUAGUGAUAAUUUGAUAGAAAUCAUCCCCUCUUCUCUCCCCCUCUCCUCUCGAAAUCAGUAUUUCUAUAUAUAUAAAGAGAGAGCGCGCUACCUUUCUGGACGAGCAAAUGAGACAAACUCCUCGUUUCUUCUACAACCUUCCAGAGGAACUUCCAUGAAGGACGAUGAAAGGGAUCCCCAAGCACUGCGAGACUGAGUGGCAUGA
rnacentral:lncRNA from 1 species